UAGUAACUCAUAUUAUAAAUAGACCCCAUGGGUGAGGGAAAUCGGCCACUCUUGCAAGAAAGAAACCCUAGAGCCUAUUUCCUCACCUCUCCUCUCUCUCAAGAUCAUCCUCUUGCUAGUUGGUGUUUGUAAGCCAUUAGAGGAGUGAUAAUUAUGACUCUAAGCUCCAAGAACAAGAAGUUUCAAGCAAGCAACUUAAGGUAUUCUUCUAGAUCUGAUUUCAUAUGUUAUGAUUCAAUUGUUUACACUAGAUCUAGAAUUGUAAGCCUUGGAUACAUUGCAUGUUCAAUUAGAGAAACCUAGAUCCAAGCAUUAGAGUUUGUAUGUGCACAUAGGAAAGUUCUUAUGGCUCAAACCCAUCGGUGGUAUCAGAGCUUUGAUUGGUUUCUAUUGAAUUGAUGCUUUGGUUGAUUAUUUUUGCUUGAAAAAAUCGUUUUCUGUGACUCUGAUUGAUGAACUCGGCGAGUUCCAUCGUGGACUCGGCGAGUAGCUCCAACUCAGCGAGUUCAUAGUGGAACUAGGCGAGUUCUAGUGUCAGUUAGAGCUGAUUUCAGGAUUUCUUGCUGUUUUGCUUAAGGAUACUUGGCUUAAUUGUUUUGGGUCAUUAAUAUCCGAACUUUAUCAUAUAUUUGAGUAUAUUCUUGACUAAACAAAAGAGAAUUACCAUUUGAUUGAAUAAUAAUUUCCUUAUAUGAUAAUAAUUGAUUAUUUGAAUUAAAUUGGUAAAUUGUCUUGCAAGUAAUAUUGACUAGGACAAAUUUAAAUAAUCAUUAAAUUAAUUAGUUGAUUUAUAUUAUUUUCUAUUCGAUCCUUUAUGUUUUGAAAAGUUUAAAACUUGUCCUCAUGUUUUGAAAUUUAAGUUUGGUGAUUAAAAGUUUAAUUUGAAUAAUUUAAAUUUCAAACCCUAGAAUUUUACAAGUUUAAAAUUCAACACUAUACUAUUAUAUCAUUACAAGCUUAAUAUAUAUAUAUAUAUAUAUAUAUAUAUAUAUAUAUAUUAUAUAAAAAAAAGCUAGUAUUACCGUUAGUAGCCCUCANCUAUAAGGUAGGUAUAAGGUUGUUGCCUAUAAAAUGGUGCUUAAUGGGUGUACACUCACACCCACCGCUUGCUUGACUGGUGGAGGUUCAUUAGUCGAACGGGUAGGAUAGGGCAAUCCUCUCCUCAUUAAUAAGUAUAAUGAAUCUAUAUAAAGUAACUAAACGUGUUUCAUAAAAUUCCCAAUCUUAGUUACUUUAGGAAAAAUGAAUUGAUGCAAUCCCACGAAAUUACACUUUGUACCCUUGCUGAGAAGUUAGUGGAGCGCGUGUGGUUAACUGGCACACUAAUUGGUUGUGAGCAAUAGUAGCAAAGGGUGACUCACGUUUGUCAUACUUCGAUGGAGCGUGUGUGGUUAACCGGCACAUCGAAUAGAUGACUGUAACAAUGAGGGCAUCACGUAUAUUUGCAUGGUUAUUCACACCCGCUUUGUGAUCCUCGGCAUCCCAGUCACAAACUAGAGGGGCAUAUCGAGAUUUAAACAUGCCAUUGAAAAGUUCAAUGAAUCUCAAAGAAAUCUAGGAAUUCUCAAUACAUUUAAAACUUAAGCUUAGGUUUUUCAUGGUGAAGAAUUAGUGAAUCGUCAUUCACUUACCUCCAAAUUAUUUGCAUGUUGGAUUACGGCACCCCUUUUCUAAUGUGUAAAUAAUGUUGUUGGGUCCUAAACCUAAUUUUAACUUUGGGUUUUUAAUUAGGGGCUUAAUUUUAAUCAAACUUUGUUCCUUUCUAUUUGUAGAUGUCUAACGCGAACAAAGCUGCUGCUAGCUCAUUCACGCUAAUUAGCCUUUGUCAAAAAGUGACUUUUGACGGAUCGAACUUUAGCGAAUGGAUAAGAUACAUUCGCACGAUUGCGCGCUACGAGGACAAAGAGUAUACCCUCGACGAGAAGCUCGAAAAGAUCAAUCCAGAAAUCGCUACUCCCAAAGAAAUGGUUGUCUUUGAGACCCAUGAGCGUGAUGCAACGAAAGUCCAUUGCAUUUCGCUAGCCACAAUGAACACCGAAUUCCAAAAGUCCUAUGAGGACAUGUUAUCCGUACGAGAUGCAUCAAGACUUAAUGGAGAGAUACCACCAAAGCGCGAGGCAAGAGCGCUAUGAGAUCAUCACGAACAUGAUCACUACUAAGAUGGGAAGUGGAGAGUCUCUAACCGUGCACUUGCAAAAGAUGCAAAGAUAUGUUGAUUGUCUUCGCAAGUUAAAUGUUAACUUUGGAAAGAUUUGGCUAUCGACAUUGUUCUUCACUCCUUGCACUCAUGCUACAACCAAUUUAGGAUGACCUACCAUAUGAACAAGGAAGAGGUCACCCUAAGCAAACUCCAAGGGCUCCUAAGGACUACUGAGAGCAACCUCAAGGACAAGUCUGUUGCAUUAACUCCCAAUCCACCCACUGCUCUUAUUUUGGCUAUUGGGCAAGGAAGGGGAAAGAAGAGGAAGACUCCUUCAAAAAGCCGCCACAAGGGAAAGUCCCAAGAUGGUUCCUCUUCUAGUGGGACCAAGGUUGGCCCUGCUAAGCCCAACCCAAACCCAAAGGAGGCGGAGUGCCACCAUUGCCACAAAAUAGGGCAUUGGAAGAGAAGCCACGCGGAAUAUCUGCAGGCCAUGAAGGGUGGGAAGAUCAAGCCAUCUUUCGUAGGUAUUUACACAAUUAAAUCUAAUGAUUCAUCUCAUUAUAUUUCUUGGGUUCUUGAUACAGGAUGUGGUUAUCACAUUUGUUCUGAUUUGUAAGGACUAAGAAGAAAUAGGGAUGUGGAGCGUGGAAGAAUAAAUCUAAUCAUGGGGAACAGAAGAUCGUCUCCUGUGACCAAGAUUGGAGUGUAUUCUCUAGUGCUUAGUAAUGGAUUAGUUUUAGAUUUAAAUAAUUGUUGCUACUCGCCAGAUAUGGCAAGAAACAUCAUUUCAUUUCAUGGUUUAUUUAGACAAGGAUUUAGAUAUUCGUUUAAUAAUGAGAAUGAUCGAUUUAUGCUUAUCUAAAUGGUGUUUUACAUUUUGAAGCAAUGCCUUGUAAUGGAAUUUAUGAAACUGUUAUGGUUGUAGAUAACCUAGGAAAUGAUGUGUUGUGUAUGGAUUCUUCCAAUAGUAUGGAUAAAGCAUGCUUGUGGCAUUGUCGUCUUGGACAUGUCAACAAGAAGCGCAUAGCCCAACUCCAAAAGGUUGGAGUGUUGGAGUCAUUCAACCUUAGGGAAGAUGACAUGUGCGAAUCUUGUUUACUUAGAAAGAUGACCAAGUCACCCUUCACUGGUACUUGUGAGAGGGGAGAGGGUUUAUUGGAUAUCAUACACAUCGACGUGUGUGGGCCCUUUAGACCCACAACAAAGGACGCGAACCGCUUCUACGCGACUUUCACCGAUGAUUAUAGUAGAUAUGGGUAUAUUUACUUAAUCAAGCACAAGUCAGAAAAAUUUGAAAAGUUCAAAGAGUUCAAACAUGAAGUGAAGAAUCAAUUGGGCAGGAAAAUCAAGAUGGUUCGAUCCGAUCGAGGAGGAGAGUACCUAAGUCUUGAAUUCCACAACUAUCUCAAGGAAUAUGGAAUAGUUUCGCAGUUGAUGCUACCUAGGACACCACAAUUGAAUGGUGUGGCAUAAAGGCGUAAUCGAACCCUAUUAGACAUGUUUCGUUCUAUGAUGAGUCGUGCUUCACUACCUAUCUCAUUCUUGGGGUAUGCCUUAGAGACUGCCGCCCAUAUCCUUAACUGAGUCCCUACAAAGAAGGUUGCCAAAGCACCUCACGAGAUGUGGACAGGGAAAGCUCCCUCGUUGGCACAUAUCAAGGUUUGGGGCUGUGAGGUUUUCGUAAGACGAGAGACUCACGACAAGCUCGAACCUCGUAGUGAGCGAUGUAUUUUCAUCGGCUACCCGCAGAAAUCCUUUGGAUAUCUCUUCUAUAGACCGAAGGACAAUGUUGUCUUCGUUGCGAGGAGAGGAGUUUUCCGAGAGCGAGAACUCAUAAGCCAAGGAGACAGUGGGAGGCAAAUCGAGCUUGAAGAGAUUCAAGAGUCGAUAGAUGAAGGAACCUCUACCGCUGGCACUCAACCCGAGGAGGAAACUCCGGUUGAACCAAUUGACGAGUCCUUACCUCUUAGACGUUCCGAAAGAGUUAGAGUUCAACCCCAGUUUUAUGGUUUUCAUAUUACUACCGAAGGGGACACAUAUAUUAGUGAUGGUACACUAAUAAAUCUAGAUGAACCUAAUAGCUAUAAGGAAGCCAUGGCAGGCCCAGAGUCUGUAAAAUGGAAAGAGGCGAUGGACAGCGAGAUUCAGUCCAUGUAUGACAACCAAGUUUGGAAUUUGGUUGACAAUGUGCCCGGACGUAAGACGGUUGGGUGCAAAUGGAUCUUCAAGAAGAAGACCGACGUGGAUGGGAAUGUGCACACGUAUAAGGCACGAUUGGUGGCGAAGGGCUUUACUCAAACUCCCGGAGUUGACUAUGAUGAGACCUUCUCGCCAGUUGCUAAGAUAAAGUCUAUUAGGGCGAUGCUAGCCAUUGCUGCAUUUCAUGAUUAUGAGAUAUGGAAAAUGGAUGUCAAGACCGCUUUCCUUAAUGGGAAGUUGUCUGUGGAUGUUUACAUGGCUCAGCCAGAAGCUUUUGUCGAUUCGAAGCAUCCCAAUAGAGUGUGCAAGCUUGAGAAGUCCAUUUAUGGACUUAAGCAAGCAUCUCGCAGAUGGAAUCUUUGCUUCGAUGAGAAAGUCAAAGAGUUUGGAUUUGUACGAAGUGAAGAUGAAUCAUGUGUAUAUGUCAAAGCCAGUGGGAGUAUAGUUAGCUUCCUCGUUUUGUAUGUCGCUGACAUACUACUCAUAGGAAACGACAUCCCGACUCUGCAGGAGGUUAAGUCCUGGCUCGGGAAGUGCUUCUCUAUGAAGGACCUUAGAGAGGGUUCCUAUAUUUUAGGAAUUAGGAUAGUGAGAGAACGAAGUAAGAGACUAAUAGGACUUAGUCAGAAUACUUACUUGGAUAAGGUACUAAAAUGUUUUAGUAUGGAAAACUCGAAGAAGGGAGAACUACCGAUACAAAGUAAUUCCAAAUUGAGUAAGACUCAAAGUCCAAGUACAGAAGCCGAAAUAGCUGAGAUGAUCCGAGCACCUUACGCUUCUGCAGUUGGCUCAAUCAUGUAUGCUAUGACUUGUACUCGCCCUGAUGUGGCCUUUGCUUUGAGCAUGGUCAGUAGAUAUCAAGGAAACCCUUGCAAAGCUCAUUGAAUCGCAGUCAAGAAUAUCCUUAAGUACCUUCGGAGGACCAAGGAAUGGGUUUUAGUCCUCGGAGGGGUGAUGACUUAAAGGUGCGAGGGUAUAGUGACGCCAGAUUCCAGACCGACAGGGACAACUACCGUUCGCAGUCGGGCUGGGUCUUUACCCUUAAUGGAGGAGCAGUGACUUGGAAAAGUUCCAAGCAAGAAACCGUAGUUGAUUCAACAUGUGAAUCAGAGUACAUUGCAGCGAGCGAAGCGUCAAAGGAGGCGAUGUGGUUGAAGAACUUCAUUGGUGACCUUGGAGUUGUGCCUGCCAUAAAGGAACCUAUGGAAAUUUUCUGUGAUAAUGAAGGAGCGGUCGCCUUGACCAAGGAACCGAGGGAUCAUGGUAGAUCUCGUCAUAUUGACAGAAAAUAUCACUUUAUUCAACAUAGGGUAGAAGAAGGACACAUGGUAGUAAAGAGGGUAUCGUAAGAGGAUAACCCAGCAGAUCCGCUUACGAAGGGACUGAGUAGGGUUAAGCACUUGCAGCACGCUAGGAGCAUUGGGCUGAAAGACGAUAUUAGUUUAGAUUAGAUAGUUUAGAAACAUGUAAUUGAUAAAUGUAAUUGACAUUUGAUGAUUAAAUAAAAGAGUAUUAUUUAUAAGUAAAACUACUGUCUUAUGUUAAUUGUUUAACUAUUGUUACACUUUGCAUGUUUUGACUUCCUGAAUAAUUGAGUUAUUAAGAAUAAUCGAAUUAUUCGAAUGGUCCACAAUCGUUCAUAUGUUGGAAGUAGGUAUGAAUAAAGAUUGUCAUGAAUUGGUGUGUAGAUUGUCUAAAAGGUAUUAGACAUAGCAAAGGUUUGCUGCAACAUUCAUGAGUGCUUAUGAACAAGUUUUGAGCAUUGGAAUAAACUCGCGCUUGCUGGAAUCACUUUAUGGAAUGUACCGCAAGUAAUCGGAAGACGAUAAUAUCAUAUGGUCUUAAAACCAAGAUAUAUGGUUUAUUGUUCACUAAUUAUUUUUUCAUUGAUAAUGCGAAACCACAUCAGUAAAUUGAUGUCAUAAAACGCAUUGCUGUGUAUAGUUGAUUAGUAAAUAGUAAAUGCAUAUAAGUCGAUGUUUAUCUGUUACUUUUAUCCUAAGAGGGUAAAAGCAAUAUCAGGGCCCCUCGAUGAUUUAAUUUGACUUAUGUGUCGGGCCCGGUCAGGACUGAAUUGAUGUGUUCAAUUAAGUUCUACGUCAAAUGAAUCUGAGAUCGAGAAACCAACUGCUGGGCAAUAAGUAUUACUAUGUUCCAUGAGAUUGUCCACACGAUAUCUAAACAUAGGAUUGUACGAUCUCUUAUCUAAAGGACAGGAUACUGAUAAGAUCAGAGUUUGACUGCGUCUUUGAGAGCUACGAUUGCUAAUCGGAUUGUGUUUGCAUAUAUAGUUACUAGACUUAUCCAAGUGAGAGACUGUUGGAUUAGUGUCUAAGCCUGUAACUAUAUUUGGUAAGUACUUGACCCGGUUGUGCAUGGUCCUUUUGGGUUGCCUUCACCAUGGCAACUUGAUAGGGUGAUUUAUAAAGAGAGAAGAUAUAUUAUUAUAUUAAUAUAUUAUGAGAAUAAUAUAUUAAAGGAAUAAUAAUAUUAUUUGAUUGAUAUAAGUCAUAAAUUAAUUAAGAAUUAAUUUGGUGACUUAAAGAGGUUAAUUGAAUAAAGGGGCAUAAAUUGUCAAAUGUAUGAUAGUUGUGUUUUUGGGCUAUGUAUCCUUAUGGAUAUUAGGGUGGACGAAUUUUAGGGUUAUGAUAUCUUAAAAAAAUCGUCCAAGCCUCAUAUCUAGAAGGAUCUUUGGAUUGCUUAGGGCCUAAGUUAUUCAAUUAGGGUUAAGGGUGUAACCCUAGUAGCUCAUAAUAUAAAUAGACCCCAUGGCUGAGGGAAAUCAGCCACUCUUGCAAGAAAGAAACCCUAGAGCCGAUUUCCUCACCUCUCCUCUCUCUCAAGAUCAUCCUCUUGCUAGUUGGUGUUUGUAAGCCAUUAGAGGAGUGACAAUUGUGACUCUAAGCUCCAAGUACAAGAAGAUUCAAGCAAGCAACUUAAGGUAUUCUUCUAGAUCUGAUUUCAUAAGUUAUGAUUCAAUUGUUUACACUAGAUCUUGAAUUGUAGGCCUUGGAUACAUUGCAUGUUCAAUUAGAGAAACCUAGAUCCAAGCAUUAGGGUUUGUAUGUGCGCAUAGAAAAGUUCUUAUCGCUCAAACCCAUCAUUAACGAACUUCUCAGGAAGGGAUUCAUUAGGCCAAGCUUCUCGCCAUGGGGAGCAUCGGUCUUGUUCGUGAAGAAGAAAGACGGAUCGUUUUGUAUGUACAUCGACUACAGAGAGCUGAACAAACUUACCGUCAAGAAUCGUUAUCCCCUACCCCACAUUGACGACUUAUUUGAUCAACUUCAAGGAGCGAGCUACUUCUCGAAGAUAGAUCUAAGAUCCGGGUAUCACCAGUUAGGAGUGCCAGAGGAGGAUGUCCCAAAGACAGCCUUCCGAACUCGUUAUGGACAUUACAAGUUUGUAGUGAUGUCGUUCGGAUUAACCAACGCACCAGUUGUAUUCAUGGAUCUAAUCAAUAGGGUGUGUCGUCCUUACUUGGAUCAGUUCGUCAUUGUCUUCAUCGAUGACAUACUUAUCUACUCUUGAAGUAAGGAGGAGCAUAGUCAACACCUACGAAGAGUCUUA
rnacentral:lncRNA from 1 species